rnacentral:tmRNA from 1 species
GGGGAUGUCAAGGUUUCGACGGGGGUCGUUGAGAUCCUGGGAGCUAUCCGUGGGCCGGGCCACGUACAAAACCGGACCUAAAUAUAAACGCUAACAAAAACGAAUACAAUUUCGCUUUCGCUGCUUAAUCAUUUGAUUGCAGCCGCUCUGGCUUAGGCGGACCCGCGGUCUAUUUCAGGGCUCAUCCAUAGCGGGCUCCUUGCGUACGCUGCUUGUGCGUCCGCAAAGACCCUUACAAGCUGCCGGUCCUUAUGCCCUGCCGACGGGGCUUAGCAUCGGGAGAUCCUAAACAUCGGCUAUGAUAGUAGAGCCCCGGAUGGAGGGGCUUUCGGACAUGGGUUCAAUUCCCAUCAUCUCCAU